AAAGAGCCUGCCUUGGUGUUGGUGUAACAGAAACCCAGUCCCGACUUCAUUCCUCGGACUCUAGCUACUUCUGUGAAUGAAGCCAGAAAGACGAUGUGUGUGGAGGAUUAAAGAUUGGAAUGCAAGUCCCGUCCUCUCCUGGGUCCUGGAAAGACACGAGCCUACGAGCCACCCAUUGCACCCCCGAGUCCCCCAUGUCUCAGCACUGCUGAGAGCUCAUGCAUUGCUGUCCUGGGGGUGAUCUGUCGGCGGCCGCCAGAAUUUGGAGGCUUUGUGGAGCCAACCUGCUGAGGGAGAAGGGCCCCAAUUUCCUGUCCAGCCGCUUGGAGCGUCUGGCAAAGAUGGAGGCCUGAGAGUGAAUUUCUGCCAACCUGUUAUCUCAGGAUCACAACUUUUCCCCUUCCCAAGAAACAAGUGUUAUUAUUAUAUUUUUAAUUCCCUAAUGUGUGACCCGGCAGCCCGUAUCAUCUUACAGGGAAUGAAUAGGGAGGCCAGGGCAGGCUGUGUGGCCAGCGCUUUCAAUAUCCCCCCUGCGAGCCAUUACAUCACCCGGCUACUCUCUAAGAGGAUUUUCAGCAGGCCUGGCUUCGUUAUUAAAAUAGUAAUUAAUUUUUUCCUCUUCACAAAACCCAGGGACCUUCAGAUGGAGGCCUUGGGAGCGAGGGCAAUCUCCUUUUGAAAGUGGCCUUUCUGGAAGCCAUAAUCGGCUCUCCAGCCCUCCGUACACAUGUUCCCCAGUAAAUGUGAUUAAAGAGCCACACAAAAACCCCCUUGCAGAAAAUUAAUUCAGUUUCCAGAAUAAAAAGUUUGAUAAAGUUGUGCAAUGCUCCAAUGACAACACAUAAUAGAGGGGGAAAGUUUUAUCCCCUUGAAGGAUAAAUGAAUGGCCAGAAAGGUCUGGUAGUUCCCAGAGUAAAAACAUCUGCUACAGCUAAUUCACUUUAGCUUUCGAUUGUAAAAUUCAUUAGCCAUAUCAGGCAGCCGUCAUCUCAAACACAAGGCCAGGAAGUACAGUUUCACAGGCUGGGGCGCCACGGCCCUCCUCAGCCAUUGCCAGGAUCUAGCCCACUGCAGACUGGGACAGACAUCCUCCCAGGGACCUCGCAGGCGCUGGAUCUCUUGCGGCUGGUGACAUCUUUUCAGCCCUUAGGUCUUCUUCAGGGAGUCUCCUUUAUUUCUAUUCCAAGAGAGGCUGCCCGCUGCAGAGGUGAAGGCCUGGUUAAAGUUCCUGUUCUGCCACUUACUAGUAGCUUAACUUUUCUAAACCUCGGUUUUCUGCCCUAUGAAAGAAGAGCGAUGAUGACUCCUUUUGGGGUUAUCAUGAGGAUUAACUGAGAUGAUAGACCUAACGGCUUAGCACUGUUCCUGGAAACUGGCAGAGAAUUGCCAAGUGGUAGAUGCUCUUCCUAGUUAGAUGUGGGGGGAAAGAAAAUUAGCUCAG
rnacentral:lncRNA from 1 species